CACUGUUCCAGGCAGGGAGAUCUAGCAGGAUGUAAAGGGCGGGGCCCUGCUCUCAUGGAGCUCACGGUCUCGUGCAGGAAGAUGGCUAAUAAGUAAAUGAGACAUGAUCAAGGCGAUCAGCUGUGGCAUGAGGGCUACAGCCCCGACGCAGGUGUAAACAUCCGUGUGGCUCUGACACUCCUACACGAGAAUGCUUCUUGGAUUUGCCGUAAAACAGACUAAAAGAACGACAGGUGAAGUGGCUCCUUCCGGUGGGUUCUCACUCUGGCUGACUUCAAGAAUUAAGCCGGGGAUCUUCUCGGAAAGUUCUCCAAGUCCCCACCUGACCCAGAAGCCCAGUUGGCUUCACCUCUCACUGCUACUUUCUGUCAACCAGAGUCAAAUAAUUUUUUCCAACCAACCAGGCAACUCACAAAAUCAGUGGGUCCCCGGGGUAUAAUUUUCAGGCAUCAGGCUUCCAGAGGUCAGAAUUCUGGCCACCCAUGAUAUUCUUCCUCCAGUGAGGAGCCCUCCAGACCUGCUCCAUAGCGACGGCAGGACCUGCCUCCCAGCAGAGCAGAGAUGAGCUAGUCAGGAGCAGGAGAAAUGAUCUUCAGACUCUGGGGCCCAGCAUUCCCCAGGUUUCCUGCAGGUCUCAAAAUCUAUCUUGAACAAACUUGCUUACAUCAUUUAUUUUUAAAUAAAAAAGAACCACUAUUGGGAGAAGGUAGUGCUUGAUUUUUUCUUCUUGGCAGAGUUCAUUCCAUAGCCUGC
rnacentral:lncRNA from 1 species